AUUGAACGCUGGCGGCAUGCCUUACACAUGCAAGUCGAACGGCAGCACGGGAGCAAUCCUGGUGGCGAGUGGCGAACGGGUGAGUAAUAUAUCGGAACGUGCCCAGUCGUGGGGGAUAACGUAGCGAAAGCUACGCUAAUACCGCAUACGAUCUAUGGAUGAAAGCGGGGGGAUCGCAAGACCUCGCGCGAUUGGAGCGGCCGAUAUCAGAUUAGGUAGUUGGUGAGGUAAAGGCUCGCCAAGCCGACGAUCUGUAGCUGGUCUGAGAGGACGACCAGCCACACUGGGACUGAGACACGGCCCAGACUCCUACGGGAGGCAGCAGUGGGGAAUUUUGGACAAUGGGCGGCAAGCCUGAUCCAGCAAUGCCGCGUGCAGGAUG
rnacentral:rRNA from 1 species